CUGUCUUUGUAUCUUCUAACAAAGAAACACUACUUAGGCUUUUAGGAUAAGAUUGCGGUUUAAGUUCUUAUACUCAAUAAUACACAUGACAUCAAGUUAUAUUCGACUCUAAAACACUAAUCAAGCUUCUUCUUGCUUCUCAAAGCUUUGAUGGUUUAGCCGAAGUCCAUAUGAGUCUUUAUCUUUGUAUCUUCUAACAAGGAAACACUACUUAGGCUUUUAGGAUAUGGUUGCAGUUUAAGUUCUUAUACUCAAUCAUACAGAUGACAUCAAGUCAUAUUCGACUCCAGAACACUAACCAAGCUUCUUCUUGCUUCUAAAAGCUUUGAUGGUUUAGCCGAAGUCCAUAUGAGUCUUUGUCUUUGUAUCUUCUAACAAGGAAACACUACUUAGGCUUUUAGGAUAAGGUUGCGGUUUAAGUUCUUAUACUCAAUCAUUCACAUGACAUCAAGUCAUAUUCGA
rnacentral:sRNA from 1 species